rnacentral:rRNA from 1 species
AGCAGUCGCCACGGUAAAACGAAGGGUGCAAGCGUUAAUCGGAAUUACUGGGCGUAAAGCGCACGCAGGCGGUCUGUCAAGUCAGAUGUGAAAUCCCCGGGCUUAACCUGGGAACUGCAUUUGAAACUGGCAGGCUAGAGUCUUGUAGAGGGGGGUAGAAUUCCAGGUGUAGCGGUGAAAUGCGUAGAGAUCUGGAGGAAUACCGGUGGCGAAGGCGGCCCCCUGGACAAAGACUGACGCUCAGGUGCGAAAGCGUGGGGAGCAAACAGGAUUAGAUACCCCUGUAGUCCCUGUCUCUUAUAC